CCCAGACUCCUACGGGAGGCAGCAGUGGGGGAUAUUGCACAAUGGGGGAAACCCUGAUGCAGCGACGCCGCGUGAGUGAAGAAGUAUUUCGGUAUGUAAAGCUCUCUCAGCAGGGAAGAAAAAAGACGGUACCUGACUAAGAAGCCCCGGCUAACUACGUGCCAGCAGCCGCGGUAAUACGUAGGGGGCAAGCGUUAUCCGGAUUUACUGGGUGUAAAGGGAGCGUAGACGGCGACGCAAGUCUGGAGUGAAAGCCCGGGGCCCAACCCCGGGACUGCUCUGGAAACUGCGUCGCUGGAGUACGGGAGGGGCAGACGGAAUUCCUGGUGUAGCGGUGAAAUGCGUAGAUAUCAGGAGGAACACCGGCGGCGAAGGCGGCCUGCUGGACCGUGACUGACGUUGAGGCUCGAGAGCGUGGGGAGCAAACAGGAUUAGAUACCCGCGUA
rnacentral:rRNA from 1 species